GGAGUCUACGGGGCUGCGCGCUAGUAGCCUAGCUGUCCCAGCUACCGGCUCUGCGGUGUGUUUAAGUCAACGUCCGCGCUGUUCCAGAGUGGACUGCGUUUCUCAUAGGCCCUGGGGGAGUUUGUGAACCUCAUCCUCUGGUUCAUUUUCCUUUACGCUUUCGGUCACUGUUUUCCUUGUGGGCAUGGGAACAAGGGACAGAAGGAGAGAGAAGGAAUCUUAAGCAGGCUCUGUGCUCAGCACAGAACCCAACAUGGGGCUCAGUCCCACAACCCUGGGAUCAUGACCUGAGCCAAAAUCAAGAGUCGGACACUCAACUGACAAGAUACCCAGGAAUCCAAUGACAUGGAUGUCUGAUUUUUAUCUACCCCACCACCCCCACCUCCCAUUUCAUUAAAAAUAAAACAACAGAAAACAGCUUUUUAUCUCUGUUCAGAUCAGAUCAUUUCUAUUGCUCCACCUUCAAGUUUGCUGGAUUCUCUCCUCUAUAAUCUCCAUUUCGCUAUUGAGCCCAUUUGGUGAGUUUUAAAUUUUGGUUAUUGUAUUUUUCAGUUCUAAAAUUUCCAUUUGGCUCUUUCUUUAAUAUCAUGUUUCUUUACUGAGAUUUCCUAUUUUCCCUUUGUUUUAAGAGUGUUCUUAAUUGUCCGGAUAUGUCAUAAGAAGUAAAAUUUCUGGGGCGCCUGGGUGGCUCAGUCGGUAAGCAUCCGACUUCAGCUCAGGUCAUGAUCUC